CCACGUCAUUUGUGAGCAAGAAGAAAUGUUCUCCGAGGCCAUAGACUUUUCUGAAGCAGCUUGCUUGUGUUUAUUAAUAUACUAUGUUUUCAACAUGGCAUAUCCUGAUGCAGCUGCAGCAUCACUCUAAUUCUUGAAAAGACAAAUUUUCGACAUAAAUCCCGUGAAGGGGACCAAAUGGAAGGGGGGCCAAAAGUCCCGAACUCCAGUUCAUUCGAAGAUAAUGAAAUUGGCACAAGCCCUUCGUGCAGACAUCUGAACAUCGACGCCCAGAGGGAAGGAGUGACAGCACAUGUAUAUUUUGUCAAUACAGCUGCUUUUGUGUGAUC